rnacentral:rRNA from 1 species
CCAAUAGCGUAUAUUAAAGUUGUUGCAGUUAAAAAGCUCGUAGUUGAAUUUCGGGAUCAGUUGAUCGGUCGUGCCUCGGUACGUACUGGUCAAAUUGAUUCCUACCUUCUGACGAACCACGAUGUCAUUAAUUUGGUGUCGUGGGGAAUCAGGACUGUUACUUUGAAAAAAUUAGAGUGUUUAAAGCAGGCUCGCGCUUGAAUACAUUAGCAUGGAAUAA